GAGUUUGAUCGUGGCUCAGGAUGAACGUUAGCGGCGUGCCUAACACAUGCAAGUCGAACGAACAGCCAGAAUCUUAGGAAUCUGGCGGGUUAGUGGCGCACGGGUGAGUAACACGUAGGUGACCUGCCCCGAAGUGGGGGACAACCACUGGAAACAGUGGCUAAUACCGCAUGUGCUUAGCCAUUCGGUUGGUUAAGUAAAGCUGAGGCGCUUCGGGAGGGCCUGCGGUCGAUUAGCUAGUUGGUGAGGUAAUGGCUCACCAAGGCGAUGAUCGAUAGGGGCGUGAGAGCGUGACCCCCACCACUGGGACGUGAGAC
rnacentral:rRNA from 1 species